UGGGGAAUAAUGCACAAUGGGCGCAAGCCUGAUGCAGCCAUGCCGCGUGUAUGAAGAAGGCCUUCGGGUUGUAAAGUACUUUCAGCGGGGAGGAAGGUGUUGAGGUUAAUAACCUCAGCAAUUGACGUUACCCGCAGAAGAAGCACCGGCUAACUCCGUGCCAGCAGCCGCGGUAAUACGGAGGGUGCAAGCGUUAAUCGGAAUUACUGGGCGUAAAGCGCACGCAGGCGGUCUGUCAAGUCGGAUGUGAAAUCCCCGGGCUCAACCUGGGAACUGCAUUCGAAACUGGCAGGCUAGAGUCUUGUAGAGGGGGGUAGAAUUCCAGGUGUAGCGGUGAAAUGCGUAGAGAUCUGGAGGAAUACCGGUGGCGAAGGCGGCCCCCUGGACAAAGACUGACGCUCAGGUGCGAAAGCGUGGGGAGCAAACA
rnacentral:rRNA from 1 species